UUGAACGCUGGCGGCGUGCCUAACACAUGCAAGUCGAGCGGCAGCGCAGGAGCAAUCCUGGCGGCGAGCGGCGGACGGGUGAGUAAUGCUUGGGAAUCUGCCUGUUAGUGGGGGACAACCCGGGGAAACUCGGGCUAAUACCGCAUACGCACUACGGUGGAAAGCCGGGGACCGCAAGGCCUGGCGCUAACAGAUGAGCCCAAGUCGGAUUAGCUAGUUGGUAGGUAACGGCCACCAAGGCGACGAUCCGUAACUGGUCUGAGAGAAUGACCAGCCACACUGGGACUGAGACACGGCCCAGACUCCUACGGGAGGCAGCAGUGGGGAAUCUUGGACAAUGGGCGCAAGCCUGAUCCAGCCAUNCCGCGUGAGUGACGAAGGCCUUAGGGUUGUAAAGCUCUUUUGCCGGGUACGAUAAUGACGGUACCCGGAGAAUAAGUCCCGGCUAACUUCGUGCCAGCAGCCGCAGUAAC
rnacentral:rRNA from 1 species